AUUGAACGCUGGCGGCAGGCCUAACACAUGCAAGUCGAACGGUAACAGAAAGCAGCUUGCUGCUUUGCUGACGAGUGGCGGACGUGUGAGUAAUGUCUGGGAAACUGCCUGAUGGAGGGGGAUAACUACUGGAAACGGUAGCUAAUACCGCAUAACGUCGCAAGACCAAAGAGGGGGACCUUCGGGCCUCUUGCCAUCGGAUGUGCCCAGAUGGGAUUAGCUAGUAGGUGGGGUAACGGCUCACCUAGGCGACGAUCCCUAGCUGGUCUGAGAGGAUGACCAGCCACACUGGAACUGAGACACGGUCCAGACUCCUACGGGAGGCAGCAGUGGGGAAUAUUGCACAAUGGGCGCAAGCCUGAUGCAGCCAUGCCGCGUGUAUGAAGAAGGCCUUCGGGUUGUAAAGUACUUUCAGCGGGGAGGAAGGGAGUAAAGUUAAUACCUUUGCUCAUUGACGUUACCCGCAGAAGAAGCACCGGCUAACUCCGUG
rnacentral:rRNA from 1 species